rnacentral:tRNA from 1 species
GGGCGUCUAGCUCAAAUGGUAGAGCGCUUGCUUAGCAUGCAAGAGGUACUGAGAUCGAUACUCAGGUCGUCCA